AUAAAUUAAAUUAUUUAAAUAAUUAGAAUAUUUAACUUUAAAAUAAGAAAAUUUUGUUUUAUUAUAAGAUUAGAAAAAAUAUAUUUAAUAAUAGUUGAUUAGUAUUGUGAAAGAAUUAAAUUUAUAUAUUAAAAAGAAAAAAUAAAUUUUUGUACCUUGUGUAUCAGGGCUGAUUAAUUAAUUUUUAUGAAUAUAAAUAUCUCGAAUUUAAAAGAGUUAAUAAUUUAUUUUUUUUAUUGUAGAAUAAAUAUUAUAAAUAAAUUAUUAGAAAUGAAACGUUAUUCGUUUUUAAAUAUAUCUAGUUUUUAAAGAAAAAAAUUUAAUUUGUUAAUUAAAUUAUAUUAAGUUAAAUUUUUAAUUUAAUAUAUUUAAUUAGUUAUAUUUUUAGGGAUGAGCUUAAAAAUAAAUUUUUAUAAAAUAAAUAAAAAUAAAAUAAUUUGUAGGAUUAGAAUUUUUUAUCAUUAAUAAAAUGUUAUAAUUAAUUAUUUAAAAUUAAUAUUUUUAUGAAUUUUAAAUUUUAUAUUUAAAUAUUAAUUUUAAUUUUUAAAAUUAAGAAAUAAUGAUUAAAUUAGUAUAAUUUUAUGUAUAAUUAUUUUAAUUUCAAAGUUUAAAUAAAGUAAUUCGGCAAAUUAUUUUUCACCUGUUUAUUAAAAACAUGGCUUUUUGAGUAUAAUUUAAAGUCUGACCUGCCCACUGAUAAAUUAUUAAAGGGCCGCGGUAUUUUGACCGUGCAAAGGUAGCAUAAUCAUUAGUUUUUUAAUUGAAAGCUGGAAUGAAAGGUUGAAUGAAAAAAUAACUGUCUCUAUUUAAAAAUUAAAAUUUUAUUUUUAAGUUAAAAAGCUUAAAUUUGAUUAAAAGACGAGAAGACCCUAUAGAGUUUUAUAUUAAUUUUAAAUUAUUCUUUAAGAAUUAAUAAUUUAAUUUAAUUUUAAUAUUUAAUUGGGGUGAUUGAAAAAUUUAAUAAACUUUUUUUUAUUAUUAACAUUGAUUUAUGAUAUAUUGAUCCAUUUUUUAUGAUUAUAAGAUAAAAUUACCUUAGGGAUAACAGCGUAAUUUUUUUUAGAGUUCUUAUCGAAAAAAGAGUUUGCGACCUCGAUGUUGGAUUAAAAUAAAUUUUUGGUGUAGAAGCUAAAUAUAUUGGGUCUGUUCGACCCUUAAAAUUUUACAUGAUCUGAGUUUAAACCGGUGUGAGCCAGGUUGGUUUCUAUCUUUAAUUUAAAAAAUAUUUUAGUACGAAAGGAUCAAGUAUUUUAUUUAAAAUAUAAAUUUUGAUAAAAAUU
rnacentral:rRNA from 1 species